UGAAUUGAAAUGUUGACUGACCGUGAUACUCCCGAAGUUGAUGGUCUCUGUUCUCCUCCUCUCUUCUCAGCCGCAUCUGCAUGUCAACAAACUGCUGUUCCGCUUCCAUCAUGCGACCUAUACCAAAUUGUUGUGUAUCCACUCGUCUCCAGCUCCACGCUUUGUCCUGAAAGGAAAGCAGCCAACACAACUCGCAUUUAGUAUUCUGUAAUUAAACUGGAGCCAUGUGAAAGAAUUGGAGUCGAUUGGCUGUCAAUAAUACCAAUCUCAAAGCCGUAUGAAGGGAAGUCAGACAAAGCCACAGGAGAGUUAGUGAUGCUCUGUUCAUGAGAAACGGAAGAAGUGUCACUAGCAGAACCAGAAAGACGGUUAUUGUAAUUGUUUUUGUGAGCACCACGAAAAGUGCGA